rnacentral:ribozyme from 1 species
UGCCCAGCAACUCCUAUCCCUACCUCCUCGUGGUACUGGCCGGGGUACGAGUCGCCAAGGUUUGGGGAAGAUCGGGUAACCAACCCCCGGUGGGAACUUUGGUCGUAUGCUGACAGGGAAGG